UCCGGUGACGAUAGCGAUGAGGAUCCACCUGUUCCCAUUCCGAACACAGAAGUUAAGCUCAUCUACGGCGAAAGUACUUGACCAUCCAAGGUCCGGGAGGAUAGCAAGUUGCCGGAU
rnacentral:rRNA from 1 species